ncrna:Acacia auriculiformis miR2086 stem-loop (aau-MIR2086)
UGCUUUCCUCCUGGUAUAUUUUGCAUUUGCUGGUUUCUUUAAGAGGAAAUCGAGCAACAAGUGACAUGAAUGCAGAACUGGAAAGAU